rnacentral:rRNA from 1 species
AGUGAACGCUGGCGGCAGGCCUAACACAUGCAAGUCGAACGGCAGCACAGUAAGAUUUUGCUCUUACGGGUGGCGAGUGGCGGACGGGUGAGGAAUAUAUCGGAAUCUACUUUUUCGUGGGGGAUAACGUAGGGAAACUUACGCUAAUACCGCAUAUGAUCUACGGGUGAAAGCAGGGAAUCUUUGGACCUUGCGCGAUUGAAUGAGCCGAUGUCGGGUUAGCUAGUUGGCGGGGUAAAGGCCCACCAAGGCGACGAUCCGUAGCUGGACUGAGAGGAUGAUCGGCCACACUGGAACUGAGACACGGUCCAGACUCCUACGGGAGGCAGCAGUGGGGAAUAUUGGGCAAUGGGCGCAAGCCUGAUCCAGCCAUACCGCGUGGGUGAAGAAGGCCUUCGGGUUGUAAAGCCCUUUUGUUGGGAAAGAAAAGCAGCAGGUUAAUACCCCGCUGUUCUGACGGUACCCAAAGAAUAAGCACCGGCUAACUACGUG